CAAAUUGCUGACAUGUGGACCCAGAAUCAAUGCCAUUUCCCUCCUGUCUGGGCUCUCCUCCUCUAAACCGUUGUUUAUCCAAUGACCCUCGUCUGUUUUGCCCAUUAAAGACCAAACGAGUGGUGUCUCAGGGUGUGUGUGCGUGCGAGUGGUGUCUCAGGGUGUGCGUGCGUGCGAGGUGUGUGUGCGUGUGUGCGUGCGAGUGGUGUCUCAGGGUGUGUGUGCGUGCGAGUGGUGUCUCAGGGUGUGUGUGCGUGCGAGUGGUGUCUCAGGGUGUGUGUGCGUGCGAGUGGUGAGUGGUGUCUCAGGGUGUGCGUGCGUGCGAGUGG
ensembl:lncRNA